AAGGAGACCAGGGGAAUCACAAGCACGUGCUGAGGAGAAACCCAAUGUAAACCCUGGUUCUAGAACAGAGGCAUCUGCUAAAAAAUCAAUACCUGGAAAGACAAACUACUAGCACAACAAAAAAGUGACUCUCUACACAAAGUCUGUGCAAAAAUAAACAAAAAAUUGAAACGAUGGAGCGAGUGCCCUGAAGCCGCCAGUUAUGCCCUUUAAAGCAGGGUGAAGGAUAUGAACAAUACCUACAUGGGAGGAAACGUAGGCUAUGCAGUCGUCCAGUUUGUUCAGCAUCGGGAUGAAACUUUCACUGCUAACAGACAGUGUAGGCGAAUUCAAUUUCUUAUUGGAGGCAAAGCAAAGAACAGAAGUCCAUAAAAAUGCACAACCGAAGAAAUCUUGCUUUGAUACCAUUAUUACACAAUACGCUUUCCAGCAUUUAAGAAAAUACUCAUUAUUUUGUA